UGCAGCAGGCGCGCAAACUUUACAAUGCGAGCAAUCGUGAUAAGGAAACCCUGAGUGCCUGUCGAUGCAGGCUGUUCAUAUAUCUAAAUCAUAUGUGAAGAAAGGGCAGGGCAAGACCGGUGCCAGCCGCCGCGGUAAUACCGGCUGCUCGAGUGAUGGCCACUAUUACUGGGUUUAAAGCGUCCGUAGCUUGACUGUUAGGUCUCUUGGGAAAUCUUCACGCUCAACGUGAAGGCGUCUAAGAGAUACCGGCAGUCUUGGAACUGGGAGAGGUAAACCGUACUUCGGGGGUAGGAGUGAAAUCUUGUAAUCCUCGAGGGACGACCUAUGGCGAAGGCAGUUUACCAGAACAGCUUCGACAGUGAGGGACGAAAGCUGGGGGAGCAAACGGGAUUAGAUACCCCGGUAGUCCCAGCCGUAAACAAUGUGCGUUAGGUGUGUCGGUAACCACGUGUUACUGAUGCGCCGAAGAGAAAUCGUGAAACGCACCACCUGGGAAGUACGGUCGCAAGGCUGAAACUUAAAGGAAUUGGCGGGGGAGCACCACAACAGGUGGAGCCUGCGGUUUAAUUGGAUUCAACGCCGGACAUCUCACCGGAUAAGACAGCUGAAUGAUUGUCAAUCUGAAGGUUUUACAUGACUAGCUGAGAGGAGGUGCAUGGCCAAUCA
rnacentral:rRNA from 1 species